UACGUAGGGUGCAAGCGUUAAUCGGAAUUACUGGGCGUAAAGCGUGCGCAGGCGGCGAUGUAAGACAGAUGUGAAAUCCCCGGGCUCAACCUGGGAACUGCAUUUGUGACUGCAUCGCUGGAGUGCGGCAGAAGGGGAUGGAAUUCCGCGUGUAGCAGUGAAAUGCGUAGAUAUGCGGAGGAACACCGAUGGCGAAGGCAAUCCCCUGGGCCUGCACUGACGCUCAUGCACGAAAGCGUGGGGAGCAAACAGG
rnacentral:rRNA from 1 species